rnacentral:rRNA from 1 species
ACCUAGAAGUUAAGCAAAAGAGACCAAUUGAUGAAGUUAGGAAGAAAACACUAGCCUUCAAGGCUCAAGAGAAAAUUUCUGAGAUCCAUGGAAAAAGAGGAAACCGGUGACACUUCGUCUGUAAGUGAACAAACAAUAUCAGAAGAACUGGCAUUGAUAGGCAAGAAGCUUAGAAAACUAUUUAAGAAGAAAAAAUCUCAAGAAGAACUUGUCAACAAAUGCCAAAGAAGCAGAGAAAGAAGUCUUCUACAACUGUAGAAAACCAAGGCACUUUGCUACAUAAUAUAGAUGACCUACAUAGAAAUCAUCUGCACAGAGAAACAAAAAGGAAUGCAGCAAAGGAAACUGAUGAAAUUUAGGAACAGUCAUUAGAAACAAAGACAGGUUAGUGGAAAAAGGUUACGCACAAGAAGAAGAAAUUGAUUUUGAUGAAACCUUUGUCCUUGUGGCAAGACUGGAAAUAAUAAGAAUGUUCCUUGCCUAUGCUGCAUUCCAAGCAUUCAAACUAUCAAAUAGAUAUGAAGAGGGCCUCUCUAAAUGGAAAGCUGCAAGAGGAGGUAUAUGUUGAACAACCUCUUGGUUUUGAAGGCUUUGAACAUCCAUAUCAUGUCUACAGGUUAGACAAGACAUCAUAUGGUUUAAAAUAAGCUCUAAGGACAUGGUAUGAAACUCUUAACUUUUCUGUGUGAGAAUAACUUUCAAAUGCCACCCUAUUCUUAAGAAACAUAAACAACAUAUGCCAUUAGUGAAAAUUUAUGUUUAUAACAUUAUAUUUGGCUGCACUAAUAAUAAACUAUGUGAAAGAUUUGGUGCAUUAAUAAAAUCUAAAUUUCAAAUAAGUUUAAUGGGAGAAUUGAAAUACUUUCUUCGACUUCAGAUACAACAAUUAGAAAAUGGUAUAUUUAUAAAUCAAACCAACUACCAGAAGAACACAGUCAAGAAAUAUGGAUUAGAAACUACAAGCCACAUGAAAACCCCCAUGAGUACAGCCACAAAAAUUGAUAAAGAUGAGAGUGGAAAGGAAUAAGCCAAACAAUAUAUAGAGAAAUAAUAGACUCACGUUUGUAACUUACUGUAAGUAGACCAGACAUCCAGUACUCAAUCUGUGUAUGUGUAAGAUAUCAAUUUGAUUCCAAAGAAUCCUAUUACACUAUAGUAAAGAGAAUCCUGAGAUAUCUCAAAAGAACUCCAGAUAUUGGUGUAUGAUAUCUUAAGAUAUCAGAUUUUCCACUAACAGGUUAUUCAGAUGAAAAAUUUACAGGCUGUAGAGUUGAAAAGAAAAGCACAAGUGGAUCAUGUCAAUAUUUUGGUGCAAUACUUAUUUCAUGGUAAAUUAAGAAGCACACUACAGAAGAAGAAUACAUAGUUGGAGGAAGCUGUGCUGCACAAGUAUUAUGGAUGAGCUCAGAACUUGCAGAUUGCGGUAUUAUGGAUGACAACACGUCUGUAAUGGCAAUUUCAAAAAAUUCAGUUUUUCAUGUCAGGACCAAGCAUAUUAAUGUCAGAUAUCAUUUUAUCAGAGAUCAUAUGCAAAAAGUUCACAUUAAAUUAGAAUAUAUUAAAAAACAAAAACAAAUUACACACAUUUUUACAAAGUCUCUUGAUUAGAGAAAAUUCAUUCAAUUCCGAGGUGAAUUAGGUAUGAUUGAUUUGACUCAGUAAUAUGGCCAAAAUGCUCUACUUCUCUACUGCACAUGUGGAAUGCAGACCAACAUGUCAUGGGUCGAAGUGACCAGGCCUGGGCGACUGUUUACCAAAAACACAAGUCUUCGCAAAGUCGUAAGACCAUGUACGGGAGCUAAUGCUUGCCUAGUGCCGUAAGGUCAAGGAAGUUGGUGACCUGAUGACAGGGGAGCCGGCGACCGAAGGUAGCGAAAUUCCUUGUCGGGUAAGUAUGUGAACGGCGGCCAUAACUAUGACGGUCCUAAGGUAGCGAAAUUCCUUGUCAGGUAAGUUCCGACCAGCACGAAAGACGUAACGAUCUGGGCACUAUCUCGGAGAGAGGCUCGGUGAAAUAGACAUGUCUGUGAAGAUGCGGACUACCUGCACCUGGACAGAAAGACCCUAUGAAGCUUCACUGUUCCCUGGGAUUGGCUUUGGAUAUCUCCUGCAGUGGAAGGCGAAGAAGGCCCCGGCCCAAGCCAUCAUACCACUCUGGAGGAGCUAGAAUUCUAACCUUGUGUCAGGACCUACGGGCCAAGGGACAGUCUCAGGUAGACAGUUUCUAUGGGGCGUAGGCCUCCCAAAAGAUAACGGAGGCGUGCAAAGGUUUCCUCGGGCCGGACGGAGAUUGGUCCUCGAGUGCAAAGGCAGAAGGGAGCUUGACUGCAAGACCGACCCGUCGAGCAGGGACGAAAGUCGGCCUUAGUGAUCCGGAAGUGCCGAGUGGAAGGGCCGUCGCUCAACGGAUAAAAGUAACUCUAGGGAUAACAGGCUGAUCUUCCCCAAGAGUCCACAUUGACUGGAAGGUUUGGCACCUCGAUGUCGGCUCUUUGCCACCUGGUGUUGUAGGAUGUUCCAAGGGUUGGGUUGUUCGCCCAUUAAAGCGGUACGUGAGCUGGGUUCAUAACGUCGUGAGACAGUUCGGUCCAUAUCCGGUGUGGGCGUUAGAGCAUUGAGAGGACCUUUCCCUAGUACGAGAAGACUGGGAAGGACGCACCUCUGGUGUACCAGUUAUCGUGCCCACGGUAAACGCUGGGUAGCCAAGUGCGGAGCGGAUAACUACUGAAAGCAUCUAAAUAGUAAGCCCAGCCCAAGAUGAGUGCUCUUGAUCUCUCCGAUUCUCAGUCCCCUUUUCCCCGCUCGGCCCCUCGGGUAUACAUCGAGGAUGAGGAUGGAGCGGGAUAAGUUUAGAGAAUAGGAGAAAAGAUCACGGCGAGACGAGCCGCUUAUCAUCUCAUUACGAUAGGUGUCAAGUGGAAGUG